AUGCAAGUCGAACGGUAACAGAGGUGCUUGCAUUUGCUGACGACCGGCGCGCGGGUGCGUAACGCGUAUAGAAUCUACCUUGUACAGGGGGAUAGCCUUUAGAAAUGAAGAUUAAUACUCCAUAAUAUAUAGAUAUGGCAUCAUUUUUAUAUUAAACAUUUAUGGGUACAAGAUGACUAUGCGUCCUAUUAGCUAGAUGGUAAGGUAAUGGCUUACCAUGGCUAUGAUAGGUAGGGGUCCUGAGAGGGAGAUCCCCCACACUGGUACUGAGACACGGACCAGACUCCUACGGGAGGCAGCAGUGAGGAAUAUUGGGCAAUGGAGGCAACUCUGACCCAGCCAUGCCGCGUGCAGGAAGACUGCCCUAUGGGUUGUAAACUGCUUUUAUACAGGAAGAAACACUGGUAUGUAUACCAGCUUGACGGUACUGUAAGAAUAAGGACCGGCUAACUCCGUGCCAGCAGCCGCGGUAAUACGGAGGGUCCAAGCGUUAUCCGGAAUCAUUGGGUU
rnacentral:rRNA from 1 species